ensembl:lncRNA
AUGUACUUCAGUUUUUUUUUUUUUUACUUUAAAUCUAUAAAUGGCAGCAAUUUACAUCGUAGGCCGUCUGCCUUUUUAUGUAUCCAGAAAAAAAUAUUUCUAUCUAUCUAUCUAUCUAUCUAUCUAUCUAUCUAUCUAUCUAUCUAUCUAUCUAUCUAUCUAUCUAUCUAUCUAUCUAUCUAUCUAUCUAUCUAUCUAUCUAUCUCUAACACUAUUUUAAAUAUUAAACGAUGUUCUGUUACUUUAAAAUCUUUGGGCCUUUUAUUAUCUUACCCAGAUACUUCCGGCUGCUGUGUGCACUAUAUAAGUGACGUAAACGCUCUUCCGGUCCUCUCUCAUGCAUUUCUGAAUCAAGAUGACUAAGAAGAGGAGGAAUAAUGGUCGUGCCAAAAAGGGACGUGGACAUGUCCAGCCCAUCCGAUGCACGAACUGUGCCCGAUGUGUCCCUAAGGACAAAGCCAUCAAGAAGUUUGUCAUCAGAAAUAUUGUGGAGGCUGCAGCUGUUAGGGACAUCUCUGAAGCCAGUGUGUUUGACUCCUACAUUUUGCCCAAACUGUAUGUGAAGCUGCAUUACUGUGUCAGCUGUGCCAUCCACAGCAAAGUGGUGAGGAACCGCUCUCGUGAGGCCAGGAAAGACCGGACCCCUCCUCCACGGUUCAGGCCCACUGGUGGUCCCCCAAGAGCCCCUCCAAAACCAAUGUGAUCUGGAGAUAUUUGCUUACAUUUUUAUGUAAGGAAAUAAAGUGGACU